GGUUGUUGACCCCUGUAGGAGCUGCCGCAGGCUGCGAUCUUUUGAUCUUAAAAAAACAAAAUCAAGAGAUCGUAGCCUGCGGCAGCUCCUACACGGGGA
rnacentral:misc_RNA from 1 species